rnacentral:lncRNA from 1 species
AGGGCGGUGAUGCUGCUUGAUCCGGAAGCUAGGAUCGGUUGAUAUGCCUGGGAGCCAUGAGAUUGGCGGAAGAGGAGCGUGUCACGGAUCCGGCGCUGAGAACGGACGCCACGGAUCAUGCGUGGGAGGCGGAAAAUGUGGAGUGGAUGCUUUGCAGACGGCUGGGGGGGUCUGAUGCGGGUUCGGAAGAAGGGGAUCACGGGCUCGGAAGUUGUGGAGAUGAUCGCGGGCGGUAGAAGGCUGCCGCAGGAUGCUCACGAACGGCUAGAACGGAGGAAGAGCAGGCGCUGAUGGAGUUGCAAAUCCGACGGGCUGCACACGGACGCUG